AUUGAACGCUGGCGGCAUGCCUUACACAUGCAAGUCGAACGGCAGCACGGGUGCUUGCACCUGGUGGCGAGUGGCGAACGGGUGAGUAAUACAUCGGAACGUACCUUAUCGUGGGGGAUAACGCAGCGAAAGCUGGGCUAAUACCGCAUACGCCCUGAGGGGGAAAGCGGGGGAUCGCAAGACCUCGCGCGAUUAGAGCGGCCGAUGCCUGAUUAGCUUGUUGGUGGGGUAAAAGCCCACCAAGGCGACGCUCAGUAGCUGGUCUGCGAGGACGAUCAGCCACACUGGGACCGAGACACGGCCCAGACUCCUACGGGAGGCAGCAGUGGGGAAUUUUGGACAAUGGGGGCAACCCUGAUCCAGCAAUGCCGCGUGAGUGAAGAAGGCCUUCGGGUUGUAAAGCUCUUUUGUCAGGGAAGAAACACCGGCUCUAACACAGUCCGGGAAUGACGGUACCUGAAGAAUAAACACCGGCUAACUACGUGCCAGCAGCCGCCGCAG
rnacentral:rRNA from 1 species